UGUUAGCAAAUCACUUGAAUAUCCAUUUGUGAUGAAGAAAUGAUGUUACAAUUAUCUGCAAUUAGAGUAGAUGAAAAAAAAAUUAAUUCAAUCGGAAGAGAAAAUUAGAAAACAAUUAAGAAAGAUAAUUAAUUCUGAUUGAAUGAGGAAAAGAUUCUGACCAAAUGAUGACAUUAGAUUUUCCCGCUCAAAGAGCAAGAGUUAAGGUUACCCAAUGAGAGGCUUUUGUUUCCUGAGGUUUUUUUUUGAUUUAAUUGUUUACAAUUUGAUUCUUAAUUGUGAUUAUAUUUGAAACUUCAACUUUAACUCAGUUUAAUUGUGAUUUUUCAUGGUAAACCCAAUUCUUAGGUUGUCUUCAUUUCCCUAAUCCUCUUUAAAAGUGUUCAUCUUUUUUUUUUCUGCUUCUGAGUUACCGAGGAUAAUUAAUAAGCUUAAUGUUUAUUAAAAGGUACAUUUUUACAGUAAGAUUGUUUGAUUCACCAAAUUAAAAGCAAGAUUUCGAUUGAUGAUGGUAAAGAAAAUGAGAGAACAGAAAAAAAAAUUGAACAACUCAAUCUAAAUUAACGGGUUUUAUUAUCAUUGCCUCACAAAAGUGUUAACUUUAUAUCUUCAACUGUACACUUAAUCAUGUUCAUCUUUAUGUUAUUAAGGACAAUUUUACUUCAAUUUAAUCUUCAUCAUCUACAUCAUGAUGAUCAUCAGUGAUAAAAAUCAGACAACAACAACAGUAACAUUCAUUUCGCUGUUUCCUAUCUUAUCCUAUCUCUCUUUUUGGCAAAUCAAAUUAACUAACUAAAGUACCCACACUCGAGGAGAUAAUAUAAUAAAAGAAAAGAAAAAAGAUCAACAAAAAAGAAGAGACCAUCAUCGUGAAUACAGAAACACAUAUCAACUUCGCUGUUAUCUUAAAUUCGCCGUCAUUACUUUGAUUGUUUUGACUACAAUCAACUUUUUUCUUCAUCUUCUAUCGGUAACAAAUGAUUGAAUGAGAGAAAAGAUUUCGCUCAAGAUGAAAUUGGUAUCAACAAUGUUAGAAAUGAGUCCUUUCAUUUUGCUUUAUUAUCACCAAAACCUUCAACAUCAUCUCUCUCUUUCUCUCUCUCUCUCUUCCGGAUAAAAUUAAGGAUUCAAUUAACAACUUUAAUUGAGACAUUGAUGUAGUGAUUUUUUAUUCAAACAAAAACAACAACAAUCAUCAACAUGCUCUCUUUGGACACAUCAAGUAACAGUUUUAAUUUGGAUUGGUUUUGAUCUUAACAUAACAGAUAACAGAAACAAUGUAACUGUUGACAACAAACUUAACUAGAGUAACCUCAAAAAAAGACACUAAAGAAAACAGGAGAACCCAAAUUAACCAGAAAAACAACAAAAGACCAAACAAUGGACUCACCAGAACAAAAAUCAACAAUAACGAUACUUAAUUACCCUGUAAAGUAAUCAAACGCUAUGUUUAUUCAAUGAAACAAACGAUAGCUUCCAAUAAGUAGUAAUGUAUAUGUGUGUUUAUAUAUUUUACUUGGAAUUGGAUUCUGAUGCCUGGUGAUGGGUUGAUAACAUGAUGACAUGUUGAUAUAAAUUCAUGAAAGUAAUCACCAAUAGAGAGAGAGAGAGAGAAAGGUCAGCAUAAUGAAUAUUAAACAGAAAUAACGGAAAAAAGCACAAACUUGUUAGUAACAAAAAAUAGAGAAAAGUAAUUGAGUUUUCUCUCUUUUCCGUUAACCCUGAAAACUAUUUGGUAAAAGAAGAAGACAAGUUGUGGUCACACUUGAAUGAAAUGAAAACUCGUAAUUUGUGUUAAUAAAUUAUCUUAAAUUGGCCUGAUUUCGAGAGGAGAAAGCGACCAAAAAGCAACGGAGGGCUAAAUAAGGAGAGGAAAGAGAAAUAGAGGGAACCCAAAAUUUUGGAGAGAAAAAAAGAAGAUGAAGAAAAAAAGGAAAAAGAUGAACGGAUCAUUCCAUCUUCCUUUUAAUAUUCCAACACCUUGACCUUUUCCAGUAAAAGGUUGUUGUCCGAUUUAUCCCUACAUCAACAACCGGCCUACUGACCUGGAGACUUGAGCCUCUCUUUGAAUCUUUUUCUCUCUCUCUUUCUCUUGUUCAUCUCCCUCAGCCAUGUUCCGAUUCAAGUGGCUUAUCAACUCUACCCCUGGCUCUUCAUCUCUUUCUUUUUUCUUCAUCAUGUUUACCUCUUACAGGGUUAACUGACCUUACUCUCCCUCUCACCAAUCUCUCUAACCCGCUCUCUCUCUCUCUCUCUCCCUCAUUGAUGAUGGUGAUAAACAAGAAUAAGUCUCAUCAUGAACACAGGCGAGAGCGUGAGAUGAUUAAGAGUAAAGAUGGAAGAAAAAAAGACUUCGUUCUACUCUUUCAGCCUGAAACCUUUUUGUGGGAAAAUCGUUUGUUGAAUCUUCAUAAAGUUGAAUAGGUCGACGGGAAAAGUGAGCAAGAAGAAAAAGAGAAUUUAAAUUGUUCCAAAAUGAUGGGUGGUAACUCAACGAACCUUUGAUUUAUCAAUACUAUUCAUUCAUUGGAAUCAUCGUUUUACUCAAUUAAUUUUUUGUUCUCUUCUUUUUUUCCAAUUUCACUCUCUAAACAGUUACUCCAUUUUUCCCCUUUAAAUCAUGAAAUCCUUUUGAUUGUUCACACACACACACACAGUUAAUCAAAAUCUCGUUCUUAUUGUAAAUUACUAGUGUGAUUUAGUUAAUUGUUUACCUUUUAACUCUUGUUACCUGCUGUUAAUUAACGCUGAUGGUCAGUGUCAUAGUGAGAUAACUUUGAGAUUUCAAUUGUCUUUUAAUUCAAUUGGCAAGGGAAUUACUAGUAAAUAGUAAUAGAGUAAAUAACCAAUGAUUAACUGAUUAAUUGUUAAAUUCUCACGAUUCAAUCUCAUCUAUCACCCAUUUUACAAUCAGGAAAUGAUUAAUUUUCGUUGAGAAAUCAACGUUUAAAGGGUUUACCUGGCCAUCAACUGAUGAUAAUCAAGUGUAUUGGUUAACAAAUUAAAUUAUUCCCACUUGACUAACUAUUAAUUUACUGAAUUGUUAUCAAGGUGAUUCAAGGAGGUUUUAGUUGUGAUUCAUUGAUAUUAACUUCAAGUCUGAUUUAAUUAAGGUCAAUAAAUUUUUUUCUGCUUCCACUCGCUCUUUCAUAUGGAUUGUAUUGUGAUUAUUUUUCUCAUUCAAUUUAAUCAUGUUUUCCAUUCUUGUUAGUUGAUGAUUAAAUCUUGU